AGAAUUUCUAGAAACACGAUAGUUAAUUCGUAAUACUGUCUCACUCACUUUAUUUUGGUGUAAAAGAAAGUAAUAGAAAAUAACAGGAAACUCACCAUUCGUUGAGAGCUUCUUAUUGCAGGUGGUGACCAUAAGAGACGCAGAUCCUAAAUAGCUGCCAUGAAAGAAAAGAUAUAGUUUAAUAAAUUACUAAUAUUACAUGUAAGAACCCGUCAUUUGAAAGACGAGUGAAGAACGAAGAAUUAAAAUAGUAUUUAAAAAUAAACGAGAGAAAAUUAUGAGGCAGAAAAAUUUGUUGCCAUAGGCACGCCAAAUUUCGAGAAUUUUCGCAUAAUAGCUGCAAUGAAAUUAUAUUUAAAUAUUUUUCAACAUUACAUUGAAUAUUUGAAAAAACUUACCACAAUCACUUCGUUUCCAUGUACUGCAUGUUUUCUUUACAUUUCCGAACAUUAUGUAUUUCAAAUUUGCAAAAUUUUUAAACAAUUUGUUAAGAAAUUUACGGAGACCGAAAAUGUCGCGUACCGAAUUAGUAACUGAAACUGUGAGAUUAUGUGAACACUACGUGUGACAUUCAAAAAGUCGUGCAAAAAUAUGAAAAUAUAGGGAACACAUCGAUGGAAAAGAUUAUUCAAAAUGAAUCAGAGAUAUUGAUAAAUGUAAAAAAUUAAAUUAAAAAUGUAAACUGUAUUUUUCUCAUUAGUUUUAUGUUUGUUCAAUUUUAUAUAAUUUUCAUUUUAAUAAUUUAUGAACUUUGUUGACUUAGAUAGUAACCCGUCCUAAAUUAACGUACGUGUGCAGUUUCCUGCCGACGCGACGCGAACUUUAUUAGAGUGAUUUGUGAGUGUGAUUGGAAAAAAGGGAUGACAAGCUACUGUAACAAAACACUUGAGAAAAGCUCCUUUUCGUGGACAGGAGAAUCGCGUAUUCGUCCCGUUACGACUGAUUCGAGGCUUUAUCGCGACAUUACCGAAGAAAUCGGGAAACACGCGGAACGUUUGCUGGUACUCGCAUAACUGACCGAGCCGAGGGGAGAAAUUCUCUCUAUCCUGAUGGCCCGGGCUCCUGGCUGACUUGCGCUCCGCGCACCUAAGCGCAACAUGUGGUAAACCGUUGAAGAUACCGGUAGGCCUGGUCUGUGUUUUCCAGUGGUGCCAGGUGCGAUGGCCGGACGGUAUAACGACGUAACGGCUGCCGCAUUGCCGAUGUCGUGUCUACAGUAACUACGGUACAUGGGGUCGUCUCUUAGAGUGUUUGCGAAUUAGGCCGCGACCCCGUCUCCGUCGUCGCGAACCACGAUGGUUCUGUGGUAGUGGUUGCAGAGGGGGCUGGCUGUGCCGCGAAAUUAGAACGUUGCAUUCGUGAGGGUCGUCGCUGUCUCGCUCCCGUGGCGGGGCAUCAAUAGGAAUAAUACGAGGAACUAUGCGAUGCAGCUCGCACAUAGGUAGACGCGAGUGU